GGAUGAGUUGAAGAAGGCAAAGCGAGUUGUCCAGUAUGGAGUUUUUGCUGCUUAUCAUUUGGCCUUGGAAACAUCUUUUCUUGCUGAUGAAAGAGCCUCUCUACCAGAGCUUCCCUUGAACUCCCCAAUUACUGUUGCAAUUCCUGUGAAAUCAUCUGUUGUUGAGAGAUCCAUAUCAAUGGUCCCUGAUUUCAGUCUUCCUGGCUAUCAGGGACAGCAACCUAGCUUACCUAUUGAUGAGCCACAAAGAUCCAAAAGUUUACCUUCCUCAGAUCUAAUCUUAUCCAGCAACAGCACUGUACCUUUUGUAGAAAACGGCCCUAGUUCUCAACUCU
rnacentral:misc_RNA from 1 species